rnacentral:lncRNA from 1 species
UGUUCAUUUGGUUUCUAUCUUUAUUUGUUUUUUUGUCAUAGAACUCUCAGAAAUUGAGCCCAAUGUAUUCCUUCGUCCAUUUCUGGAAGUGAUUCGCUCAGAAGAUACCACUGGCCCUAUCACUGGACUGGCUCUUACCUCUGUCAACAAGUUCCUGUCCUAUGCACUUAUAGGUAAGAGCUUAUACUUUGUUAGAUGACUAUAGCACUUUAUUUCUUGCCUCUCUUGGGUUGCUGAGGUCUUAGUCAAUGAGCUGAUGAUACUGGAAAAUGUUUCUCAGCCAUCUCUUUCCUUGUAGAAGAGAAAUAUGAUUGUUAUUGUUACUCAUCGUGCUAAUUGAAUGGGGUUGUACAGGCAAGAAUGGGAGGGACAAAAAUUUACCCUAUGACUGUGGUUUCUCUAAUGCUUUGAGAGUUAAGGGUACGAUCUGAUUUUAUUUAUAUAAAUGUAUGUAUGCAUAUCUUUAUUUAUUUAUUUGUAUGUGUGUGAUGCUGGGGAUUGAACUCAAGGCCUCACACAUGCAAGGCAAGCACUUUUCUACUGAACCAUACCCAUCCCUAAAGUUAUAUUUUCAAAUAUUA